rnacentral:rRNA from 1 species
UACGUAGGGGGCAAGCGUUAUCCGGAUUUACUGGGUGUAAAGGGAGCGUAGACGGUGAUGUAAGUCAGAUGUGAAAGCCCGGGGCUCAACCCCGGGACUGCAUUUGAAACUAUGUUGCUAGAGUGCAGGAGAGGUAAGUGGAAUUCCUAGUGUAGCGGUGAAAUGCGUAGAUAUUAGGAGGAACACCAGUGGCGAAGGCGGCUUACUGGACUGUAACUGACGUUGAGGCUCGAAAGCGUGGGGAGCAAACAGGAUUAGAUACCCCCGUAGUCCCUGA